rnacentral:tRNA from 1 species
GUCUUUGUAGUAUAUAAAAUACCUUGGUCUUGUAAACCAAAAAAGGAGAACAUGAUCCCUCCCUAAGACU